rnacentral:lncRNA from 1 species
UAGCAAACCGGCACUUUUACCACCCAUUUAUUUUCAAGGAUGGAGCCUCCAAAUCGACGAUCGGCACCGUUGAACAUGAUCUAUACCACUUGAAUUGUUUAGAAAUCAAAUUUCAAAUCUUUUCGACAUUAUUUGCCUAAUGAUCAAAGGGUUUCAAAAUUUAUAAUUUUAAUGGUUGAUAUGAGGCGUUUUCUCAUUUAACGGUGUAAAGAUAUCCAAAUCAAUUGAAUUUUUGUUAGAAAAUUCUUUAAACCAUUUAAAACAAGAUCUAUACUCUUGAUCUUGAUUAUAAGACUCCUAUCAUCAUUUUUUUAAGAAUAUUCAUUUUUAGCCGUUCAUUUUUGUGUCUACUCGAUGGAUAAGAGAACAAUAUCGAAAAUGUAUAAAAUUUGAUUUCUAAAUAUUUCAAAUAGUAUAGAUCAUAUUCAACAGUGCCGAUCAUCAAUUUGGAGGCUCCAUCAUCGAAAACAAAUGGGUGGCAAAAGUGCCGGUUUGCUAUCGAUAGUAUUCUAGCUCAACUCUAUAUAUAUAUAUAUUUGUUAAAAAAUUAAAUAUUUGUUAUAUUAUAAAUAUUUUUAUAAAUUUUAAAUUUUUAAGUAGAAAUAAUUAUUUGUUUAUAUUUUAAAUUUAUAUUUAAAAAAAAUAAAUUUUUUUAGGGG